ensembl:lncRNA
UUUUUUCCCUUUUUUGGUGGCUUCCCAGGCUUAAAUAUUUGUACUCCACUGGCUGAAAUAGAACCAUAGAAUUAGAUUAAUAAGCACCUUUUUAAAAAGAAACAAAUGGAAGUACUUCCAGAGAGUAAUAAACUGUAUCAUUCACCCCCAAACAAGUGUGAAACAUCUCAGUCAGAUCGCUUGCCUCCUAGCAUCACCAGUGUCAGCCAUUCUGAGGGCCGGGAGGUUCAUUUGGGCUUGGGUGGGGAGAAGAAUAGGUAAUUUUUGAACCUGGAGACUUUGGAGGACUUGGCUAAGUCAGGAGGAGCCAUCACAGUGGGGGCAUUGCACAGAGAACAGGAAGAGUUGGGAAAAUGCUUCCUACAAAUUUGUGCAAAAGUCUGGUGCUGCACGUUGCUGAGGCCUCCUUUCCUGUCCCUCCAGGUGGGAGUAGCUUCCGUAGCACCGUCUGUGUCCCCUUGUGUGACAUUUGUCAUACCUGAAAUGUCUUAAUCAGUAAUUAUUUAUUUAGUAGCUACCGCAUGCUAGGAAGGUGCCGUUCUGGCCCUCGGGCUCCGGGGCUGAACAGGUGGGCAAUGCUGCCUUAGUGAGCCCUCAUUCCAGGGUGAGGAGAGGCGAGUGUCAGUAAACAGGCGGUGUAGUGAGAUAACGAGGGGAUGUGACAAGUUCUCUAAAGCAGUGCCAUCAAAGUGUGACCAGGGAGGUUGGGCAUAACAUGAGAGCUUGUUGGAAAUGCACCAUCUCAGGCUUUACCCUGAACCUCCCAAGUUAGAAUCCGCAUCUUCACAAUCCCCGAGUGAUUCGUGUGCACUUAAAGUUUGAGAAGCGCUGCUGUAAAGACUGUGGAACAAGCAGACGUGCUGGAGAGCAGUUAGAGGGGCCCAUUCCAAACAGGGGAGUCUGAGGAGAGGAAUUAUGAGUUGUUGCUUAAAGGAUGAGAACAAGCCAGCAAUAGUCGGCAGGAGGACAUUCCAGGCAGAAGCAACAGAAAGUGUUGCGGUCCAGAGGGAGUCAAGCACUAGCUUUAUUUAAGUUAGACUGGGCAUGCCUAGAACUUGAAACGGGGAGAAAAGGGGAAAACAGAAUCGAAUAAGGGGAGAGAAGUAGGCAGGAGCCAGACAUCCAGGGGCUUGCAGGGCAUACCUAGUAAGGAGUUUGAACUGAUUUAAGGGUGCUGGAUGGUACUCAAGGGUUUUGGGCAGCCGAAGCGCAGAGCUUGAUCAAUAUCUAGUUCUCACCCAGCAUCUAUUCCACAGUAGGGACAUCUUGGCCACAUUAAAUCUCGCGUAUUUAACACUCAGUAGAGACUUAAUACACGUUAAGCGUAUGACUGCUGCCCUCCCUGCUCCAUUUAAGUUCCUGCUUCUAGGCUGCUAAGCUCAGGUUGAUGCUACCAGCAGGAGGUGUCUGUAUCACAGUAUGGGUUAAAUAAAUAUGGCUGUGUGGCCUAUCUAGAGUAUAUGUCAUCGUUUAGAACUUUGUUCCCGUAACACAAUCUAUUCUGAAUUCUGGGCAGCCCACUCCCAUAGGAAUAGCUGGAUCACUGUCUGGUUGUGAAUUGGCAGGCCUUGUACAAAAAAAUGUUUGUGUGUGUGGCAAGUAUGAUUCUAAAGACCUGUGACAUUGUAGACGUUUGGAGCUAGAAGAGAAGUUCUCUUUCAUUCCACAAAUACGUACUGAACCACUAUCAUCUAAGGAAAGUAGAAGACGUCCAUGUGGUCCUUCUGUCUCAUGGCUCUACCCUGCUGGUAAGUCCGCUCUUCAGGGUCCUCUCCAUUCCGUCAGUGGAGGGGGGAAAAGAACAGAAGAUUGCCCGCGGAAGGUGUUUGUGAACCAGGCCUGGGAAGGGCGUUUGGUACUUUCAUUCAUGUUCUACUGGCUAUAACUCAGUCACAGGGCCACACUGAUCGUAUCACCACUGGUAUAGUGGCUUCCAAGUCCUCAAGGACUCAGGAUUCUUUUAUCUUACUGCUCUGUUGUCUAUCAGGACUGGCCUCUAUGCUCACUUCAUGGACCGAGAUGUUCACUGCAGAGCCAACCAUUCCAGGCAGAAAAAUGGAGGAAGGAGGGAAAGGCCAAAAAUUACUGCCCCUACCGUAGUCUACCUUCUUUAGGAGCUUUCAUGGAAGCCUAUUCAACUAUUUUCUCUUAUCUCAACAGCAACCCGUACAUGCAAGGAAGAGGAUUUGUGAAAUAUAGUCUUUUAUGGAGGCACAUUGCUUCCUGGAAUAUUAAAAGGUUCUACCAUGAGAUAUCACGUCGUAUCCAUCAGGAUGGCUAAUGUCAAAAAGACAGACGAUAACAAGGGUUGACGAGGAUGUGGUGAAAUUGGAACCCUCAUUCAUUGCUGGCAGGAUUGUAAAGUGGGACAGCCACUUUGGAAAACAGUUCCUCAGAAUGUUAAACAUUGGGUAACCAUAUGACCCAGCAAUUCCAGUCAUGUAUACCCAAGAGAACUGAAAACAUAUGUCCACACAAAAGCCUGUACAUGACUGUUCACAGCAACAUUAUUCAUGAUAACCAAAAAGUUUAAACCGCCCAAACAUCCAUCGACUGAUGAACGUAUAAACAAAAUGUGGUAUAUCCGUGCAGUAGAAUCUCAUUCACCAUAAAAAGGAACAGAGUACGGAUUCCUACUAUAACAUGGGUUGACAUUGAAAAAAUUAUCCUGAGUGAAAGAAGCCAAACACAGAAUGCCACAUAUUGUAUGAUUUGGUUUAUCUGGAAUCUUUGCAGACAGAAAUUAGACUGGGGGAAGUAGGGAGUAACUGCUAAUGGAUAUGGGAUUUCUUUCUGAGGUGGUGAAAAUGUUCUAAAAUUAAUCGUGCUGAUGGUUGUAUGCCUCUGAAUAUAGUAAAAAGCUACUGAAUGGUACACUUUAAAGGGUGAGUUUCAUGGUAUGUGAAUUAUAUCUCAAUAAAGCUGUUAUAAAAACACAA